UUUCAUUUUCUAUUAUAUAUUAUAAUAAUAUAUAUAAUGUAAUAAUAAAUGCUUCUCUCUCUCAGUUCUUUCUCAGUCUCCAUUCUUAUUUUUUCUCUGUUAUUUUCCUAUUUUUCAGAUCUCUUUCUCUUUUUAUCUUCUUCUUCCUAAUAAUCUUGUAGGCGGCUUCAAUUAAGCAUCGGUGCAGCGACGAAGUGCAACGGAGGAGAGGAGCAGAGGUGCGGCAACGGAGCAGAGUAGAGGAGCAGAUGUUCGACGGCAAGGCGAGACGAGGCAAAGCAAGCUGGGUGCGACGACGAAGUUCAGCGAGGCUUCAUCGUUGUUGGGUCCACCUUCGUCACCUCUGAGAUAUGAAAAAAAAUGCUCAUUGUCAAUGUCUUUCUUGAAUCUUUUAUUUGUUGAAGUAUGAUAAUGUGCUUAUGAAAUCUGGUAUUUUGUAUUUGAAUUUGUAGUGCUAUUAUAUUUUGAGAAAUAAAGAACAUUUAGUGAUUAUUUUGUUUUGAUUCAAUUAGAAUAACGAUCUAUUUUUGUGUAUUUGAUUUAUGGGUUUUUCUGGGCAACAAACAGACAAAUGAUUACUGAUAUUUCAAAAAAAAAAUUAUAUAAUUUUUAUUAUUUAUUAUAAUCAGUAUUAAUAUGAAGGGUAUGGGCUGCGUAUAAGGGGUUCAAGAUUGAGUUUCUUUUUGGUAUUUUUAUUUCUGGUUGAACAAAAGCUGUGUUACUUAUAUCUCUGUGAUUUCUCUUACUUCAAACUUUGUGCUUUAAUCUUGCAAGAUUGAACUUUAUGUAUUGCUAAACUAGGAGACACACUUAAACAUUAUACAUGGAUUUGCUAAAGGAAUUGUUUAUCUUCACCAUGAUUCAGGUUUAAUGAUUAUAAAUAGAGAUUUUAAAAAUAGUAACAUACUACUUACUAGAUGAAGAGAUGAAUCUGAAAUUUCUGAUUUUGGCUUGGCAAUGAUUAUUGGAGGCAAGCAAAUUAAUGCAAGAACGUACAGAAUAAUAGGAACAUAGUAAGUAGUAAUAACAUUGCUUUUGGAGUGAACUGAAUUUACCCUUCAUUCAUCUAUUUCUCUUUACUUUUAGAGUUUUAUUUAAAAAUUUACUUUAAAACGACCAGGCUUGUCAAGUUAAUGAGAUGUGAAAUUCGAGUAGUGUCACUACUAAGAUAUAGAGAAUGAUUUGGAUGGGGUUGUGACACUUGGCUUAAUUAUCUGGUCAUUUUUUCUGUAUUUGCUAUGGUUAUUAUUCAGUGAUUGUUUUGUAGAAGGACCAGUGGCCCCGAAGAUCAACAACAGGACAAUGGACAGGUGAAGAGAUAUAUUUGGAGGUUGAACCUACGUAUGACUGAAAAAGUUCGUACAGGCAUAGAAUGCACCUACAAACCAAGAGGAGUUAGGCUACGGACACAAUUUCCAUGCCAGACAAGUAGUGGCAUUACAAGAAUAGUACAUAGCAAGGACUCCCCAAGCAUGCCUAUGAGGUUCAUACCCGACAAGAAGUGGAGUUACAGCAUGGUACCAUGGCAGGAGUACUUUUGCAGACCCCUGACACAUACUAGAGCCGACCACCACUCCUCCAACACUACUACCACCUGCAACCUGGAUAUGCAGCUCCUUGUCUCUUCGGGACCACAAUGUACCAAGAGCCAUUACAGCUCACCUAUAAAUAGGACCUCACUUCAUCAUUGAAGGGGGUUGGAAAAUUCAUUGUAUACUCAGGCUAUUAGGCAAUAUGAGAGUUUUUACUCCAUUAUUGUUCUGCAUUUAUCUUUCCUUAAGUCUAUUCUAAGUUCUUACUUAGUUAUUCUCUUAAUAAAAUUUGAGUUUUCUGACC